rnacentral:rRNA from 1 species
CCUACGGUGUGCUGCAGUGAGGAAUAUUGGUCAAUGGGCGGAAGCCUGAACCAGCCAAGUCGCGUGAGGGAAUAAGGCCCUACGGGUCGUAAACCUCUUUUGCCGGGGAGCAAGGGCGGGGACGUGUCCCGGCCCGGAGGGUACCCGGAGAAAACACAUCGGCUAACUCCGUCCCAGCAGCCGCGGUAAUACGGAGGAUGCGAUCGGUAUCCGGAUUUAUUGGGGUUAAAGGGUGCGUAGGCGGGCAUUUAAGUCAGCGGUAAAAAUUCGGGGCUCAACCCCGUCCGGCCGUUGACACUGGGGGCCUUGAGUGGGCGAGAGGAAGGCGGAAUGCGUGGUGUAGCGGUGAAAUGCAUAGAUAUCACGCAGAACCCCGAUUGCGAAGGCAGCCUUCCGGCGCCCUACUGACGCUGAGGCACGAAAGUGCGGGGAUCGAACAGGAUUAGAUACCCUUGUAGUC